rnacentral:rRNA from 1 species
AAUGAACGCUGGCGGCGUGCUUAACACAUGCAAGUCGUACGAGAACGCUUCAGCUUGCUGAAGCUAGUAAAGUGGCGUACGGGUGAGUAACGCGUGGGUAAUCUACCUUCGAAUUGGGGAUAACGUUGCGAAAGUGACGCUAAUACCGAAUAAUAUCAUAGAGACUUUGGUUUUUAUGAUCAAAGAUGGCCUCUCCUUGGAAGCUAUUGUUUGGAGAUGAGCCCGCGUCCCAUUAGCUUGUUGGUGGGGUAAUGGCCUACCAAGGCAACGAUGGGUAGCUGGUCUGAGAGGAUGAUCAGCCACACUGGAACUGACACACGGUCCAGACUCCUACGGGAGGCAGCAGUGAGGAAUUUUGCGCAAUGGGGGAAACCCUGACGCAGCAACGCCGCGUGAGUGAUGAAGGCUUUCGGGUCGUAAAGCUCUGUC